rnacentral:tRNA from 1 species
GCCGGUGUAGCUCAGUUGGUAGAGCAGCGCACUUGUAAUGCGAAGGUCGAGGGUUCAACUCCUUUCACCGGCACCA